AUUGAACGCUGGCGGCAGGCUUAACACAUGCAAGUCGAGCGGAGAUGAGGUGCUUGCACCUUAUCUUAGCGGCGGACGGGUGAGUAAUGCUUAGGAAUCUGCCUAUUAGUGGGGGACAACAUUCCGAAAGGAAUGCUAAUACCGCAUACGCCCUACGGGGGAAAGCAGGGGAUCUUCGGACCUUGCGCUAAUAGAUGAGCCUAAGUCGGAUUAGCUAGUUGGUGGGGUAAAGGCCUACCAAGGCGACGAUCUGUAGCGGGUCUGAGAGGAUGAUCCGCCACACUGGGACUGAGACACGGCCCAGACUCCCACGGGAGGUAGCAGUGGGGAAUAUUGGACAAUGGGGGGAACCCUGAUCCAGCCAUGCCGCGUGUGUGAAGAAGGCCUUAUGGUUGUAAAGCACUUUAAGCGAGGAGGAGGCUACUGAGACUAAUACUCUUGGAUAGUGGACGUUACUCGCAGAAUAAGCACCGGCUAACUCUGUGCCAGCAGCCGCCGUAAGAC
rnacentral:rRNA from 1 species